rnacentral:rRNA from 1 species
UCGCGUAGGCGGUUUGACAAGUCGUGCUUUAAAGACCAAGGCUCAACCUUGGAAAUGGGUACGAUACUAUCAAACUAGAAGAUUGGGGGGGGAUUUUGGAACUUCCAGUGGAGCAGUGAAAUGCGUUGAUAUUGGAAGGAACACCAAUGGCGAAGGCAAAAAUCUAACCAAUCCUUGACGCUGAGGCACGAAAGCUUGGGGAGCGAAGCAGAUUAGAGACCUGCGUAGUCCAAGCCGUAAACAAUCCUCGCUAGAUUCCGAUUCGCAAGAGCCGGAGUCGUAAGUUAACACGUUAAGCGAGGCGCCUGGGGAGUACGAGCGCAAGCUUAAA